GACGAACGCUGGCGGCGUGCCUAAUACAUGCAAGUUGAGCGCUGAAGGCUGGUACUUGUACCAACUGGAUGAGCAGCGAACGGGUGAGUAACGCGUGGGGAAUCUGCCUUUGAGCGGGGGACAACAUUUGGAAACGAAUGCUAAUACCGCAUAAAAACUUUAAACACAAGUUUCAGGUUUGAAAGAUGCAAUUGCAUCACUCAAAGAUGAUCCCGCGUUGUAUUAGCUAGUUGGUGAGGUAAAGGCUCACCAAGGCGAUGAUACAUAGCCGACCUGAGAGGAUGAUCAGCCACAUUGGGACUAGGACACGGACCAAAAUCCUACGGGAGACAGCAGUAGGGAAUCUUCGGCAAUGGACGAAAGUCUGACCGAGCAAAGCCGCGUGAGUGAAGAAGGGUUUCGGAUCGUAAAACUCUGUUGGUAGAGAAGAGCGUUGGUGAGAGUGGAAAGCUCAUCAAGUGACGGUAACUACCCAGAAAGGGACGGCUAACUACGUG
rnacentral:rRNA from 1 species